CUCAUUAACCAUACAUUAACAUUGUAGCGGAUCGGCAGUAUUAAAACACAUGAAUUCCGCUGGCACAUUCAGUAAUCCACAGUCAGCACUGAAAAGUAAGGCAAAAUCCCAAAUCCCCCAGUAACCGGACGAAACACAUUUCUGGGAGUCAACUGAGGCUUUAUUCACAGGCUCCAGAAUUUAUACAAUUCCUCAUGCAAGAGGUUUCCUGAGUCACAUCACAGGGGUAUUACAGGAGUGGACUACAUGGGAAACUUAAUGUACAGAGCCUUUCUCCCAUCAGGCACUGCUGCACGAGAGGGAUCCUCCCACUGGAAUGUACAGUUAAGUGGAUUAUCC